rnacentral:lncRNA from 1 species
CUAGGCCCAUAACCCUUAACAUAAAAAACCGUACAGAGCUAAGAGGAGGAGUUUCAGCCGUUUCAUAGACAUACACAGUCCUACGCCUACUGAAGAUGAGGAUUUCCAUUUUCAUUCAAUGAAAUUUCCGAAAAAUCCAAGGUUUUGCUCACUGAAUGUAACGUGAUUUCAUCCUUCAUUCAAGACUUCAAGCUAAUGACACCUUAUUAUCCCCAAUAUACAAAAACCCAAGUUAGCCGCAAACCCCUCUGCAAAGAACCUCCACCAGAUCUCACCCCUUCCGAUUAUUCUGCUUUCUAAUCUCAUAGAUUUUCUUAUUGAAUUUGGAAUUCAUCACGUGGUUUCGUUUUGGUAUCAUUUGGAAAUUGAGGUCGCCGGCAAGGUUCCGUUCGAGGUUGCCGUUGAGGUGUCCAGCCGACUGAUCUGUUCGUAGUUAUCGGCGAAAGCUCCAAUCCAGAACUACCAAAUUGCUAGGCUUGUAGUUCCAACCCCUGUUCAUUUGUGCAAGAGGUCCGAUUUUUUGCCUUAUAAUCUACUUGGAUAAUGGUUAAAUUGCUUGUUUGCUUUUAUUCUGUUGAAGUUACUUGUUGAAACCAUUUUGAAUUUUGUUUCCAUAUUUGUUAAGAACGUUGAGGUGUUGCUUGUAUUCUUUUGGGUUAUACCUUAGUCAUGCUGCUUUUGUAUUUAUUGGUAAAUAAUGUGUAAAUCACAUUUUGUUUGAUAAUAUGGAAUUAAUGGAUAUGCAACUUUUUGUUGCCUCCAUUCCAGAAGGUUUGUGUCAUAGCCUUCUAAAUCAUCUUCUAUCUGCAGUUGUUUCUCGAGAAGAUCAAGCCAUCAAUUUGAAAUUUUGGACUACUCUACCUCAACAUCGUUACUUUGAGAACAUCUUCUAUCUGCAGUUGUUUCUCGAGGAGAUCAAGCCAUCAAUUUGAAAUUUUGGACUACUCUACCUCAACAUCGUUACUUUGGAUAUGUUCUCACGGAGCAUGAGGUUUGGCUUGUUAAUUUUUAUCUCCUACAUUUGAUAUAGUCACGCUUACAUUAAACAACAUUUAUUAUAGGGAAGGGGAUAAGAACUGUAAUAGUUAGACUUUAAUUGAGAUUUUUAGGCUUUUUAACGUAAUUAAAUACAAAGAGAUUGUCAAUUUUGGCUAACACGAUGCAUACGUAUAAAAUUUCUCUUUCUCCUCUGUUUUAAUGCGUGAUAUUGUCCAUUUGGUUGGAACAUGAUGGAUGGACAAAUUUGAAUGAUUUUUAUGACCGAUCAUGUUAGUUUUAAUAAAUAGAGGCGUGCCAUGCAAAAUAAAGUCUCAAAACCUAUGACCCUCGGAUAAUCAAUGUGAUCUCCUUAGAAAUUGAGGCGUGCCAUUUAGUUGAAAUUUCAUAGCCCUCGCAAAGUUGAAAGUGCAUAGUUGCUUUAGACGCUAUUUAAAAAUUAUUUUCCUAAACUCGGGUGCGCAUUUGUGUAACCCAAAUCCAAAUCUCAACAACGUUAAAUAAAAUGUGUUGUGGACCGCGGGUACAUUUAUGUGACGUGGUUCAAGACAUGUUUUAGAUUACGUUGAAUCUUUCUCCUAAAAACAAUUAAUUAAAGCGGUUAUAAAGUUAAAAUUGAACCGUAGGUUAAAACAUGUAUUAAAAUCAAAUAAUAGGCCAAUUGUAACAGUUGAGCGACCGUGCUAGAACCACGGAACUCGGGAAUGCCUAAUACCUUCUUCCGGGUUAACAGAAUUCCUUAUCCGGAUUUCUGUGUUCGCGGACUGUAAUACAAAGUCAAUCUUUUCCUCGAUUCGGGAUUUAAAACCGGUGAAUUGGGAUACCAUAAAUUAUCCCAAGUGACAACUCUGAAUUUUUAAUAAAAUAAUCGCGUUUCGAUUGUCACUUUAAGUUGGAAAAAACUCCCUUAUACACCCUCUCGUGGUGUAGUAAAAAAGGAGGUGUGACAUCUCUGGCUACUCUGCUGGGGAACGAACCCAGAAUCUAUGGUUCAGGGUUCAAGAAUUCGAGCUUAGAAUAAUUGUUAUAAUUGGCUAUGUUUAUUAUCUGAUUUUAUUACAUGUUUGGGCCUAAUGUGCUAAAUGCUGCUUUUUACCGCUUUGAUAUUAUUUGAACUGUACAUAAACUGCUACGAAACCCCUCUCUUCUCUCUCCUGAGGAGUGCACGCUGACGUGACUUCUUUCUGUUAGUGUCAUAUCCCAAAUAGAAUGAGGUUCGGACAAGUUACAAAGCCGGAUGAUCUUUUGGUUACCGGUACGCAGCCCUCCUCGGCUCGAGUUGUCCGCUCGGGUAAGCCAGGUCUAGAACAAUACACACAGGUUUUAAACCUAGAAUAACUCAGUCUCAUGCUGGAUCCCUCGUAGGAACGUUUAUUUGUAUCAUGUACAUUUGACUUUGGAGACUCAACACAGGGGUUGGGUCUGUCUAAGACAUGUAUACCCGAAAUGAAAAAGACCAUCCUGAUGCAUCCUACUUGCUACUUGUGUAUUGAUUUGCUUCGGAUUUGCAUGUUGAUCGGCUUAUAGGGAAAAUGUUGAGAGAAGGAAAGUCAAUGUGAGGGCUAAGAGAGAUAAUUGCUUGUUUUUGAAAAACCGAUGUCCCAAAAUAUACUGAAACUCUGCCGAAAUUUUUAAAAAAAAAAGAAGAAAUUUUUUAGUUGUUUUUUUUNNNNNNNNNNNNNNNNNNNNNNNNNAUAAUUUUAUUUUAAAUAAGCGGGGUGAUGCCAUUUUUUGUCUAAAAAUAGCCGAAUGUCCCCAAAAGGACGCCGGAAGGCUGUUUUAGAAAGAACAGCCACUUUUGGUCUCUUUUUCAAAUUUUAGGCUGGUUAACAAGCACAUCCUUAAAAUCUUCUCCCCGGAAGUGCUGAAAGGCCGUAUUUGCAAAGCCGGGUUUUAUUCUUGACAUGACAAUUUAAAAAAAUAUAAACUUUUCUUGAGUCAAAUGAGUCAUGAUUUUGCUUAAUCACCCUAAUAAAUGUGUAGAAUGAGCACGAGUCAAAUUUUGCCAAUAACAGUCAUGAACAAGAUCCCUUUGGAGCUGUGUAUGUGGUGGGAAGAUCUGGUUAAAUCAGGGCAAGAUAAGGUCAAUCUAUACUUGGGAGGUCUCACCGGGUUGUUGAAGAUCAGGCCUAGAGGAGACAUCGUAAAGGCGUUGGUUACAUUCUGGGACCCGGCCCACAACGUGUUUCAUUUCUCAGAUUUUGAACUCACCCCAACUUUGGAAGAAAUAGCCGGAUAUAUUGGGAGCACUAAAGUUCCUAUGAGACACAAAUAUCUGAUUUCUCCAAGAGUCGUCGCUGUGCACAGGUUCCUAGAUUCCUUAAAGAUAAGCAGGGGGUCCACAACCCAGAUUUGGCAGCUAGUUUUUCCACUCUGCAGUUUAUAUACUAGAGAUACGGUCACAUAGGUGGGUUUAACAAUCUAGAAAACAAAAUUUGUAGCAAAGGGAAUCGCCUCAAAUGGGAAUAGCACCGAUGCUUUGCUUUUAUGGUAGUAUUCUUGGGUCUUCUGGUGUUUCCUAGGAAAGAUGAAAAUAUUGAUAUACAGAUAGCUGGUGUCAUCAGUACCUUGCUUACUCAGGCCAAAAUUACCCUCGCACCCAUGAUAGUAGCUGAAAUCUUCCGCGCUCUCACAGCCUGCAAAGCCGGAGGAGACCUUUUUGAAGGGUGCAAUUUGUUGCUAUAGAUGUGGAUAACUGAACAUCUAUGUCAUCGUCCUCAAUACAUGAGCUAUGGGUCGACAGAGAAAAACUGCAUAGAGGAAUUUUAUAUAAGGGUCGACGGGUUUAGCCUGCUAGAAGAGAUCACAUAAUGGAUAUCCCAUCUCCGUUCCAUUACUGCAGACCAAAUAGAAUGGAUGUUCGGGUGGCUUCCUAUAGAUGAAAUCGUAUACAUGCUAGCUACCGGACUUCACUUCCUCCUGAUGGGUCUCAGAAGUAUCCAGCCUUAUGCCCUAUACCGGGUUUUGAGACAAUUGGGGAGAUGUCAAAUCGUUCCAGAAGAUGAAGACCUUAGUGCUCAGGUAGUCGAGAUUGGUCCUGAUGGUCAGUUUCAUGAAGCAUCAGUCCGCCAGAUUUGGAGCGAGUGUCAGUACCUGACGACAAAUACCUGUGUGCGCGAUCUAUCCAAAAAGGUGAAGUUUCACCAAGGUACCUUGCUUGGUAUAAAAGGGAAAUUGAGUUUGGAAGGCCGGCCAAAAGACCCCAUCUUCAAGAAUUUGUCGAGGCGUCACAAGUGCAAUGAGAUUGGUUGGCCAAAGAAAAUGAAUAUAGGGAUACCAUAAGCAAGCUGGAAAAGCAAGUCAAGGACCUUCAAUUCGAGAAUGGUUUGCAAGCCGCCACAGAUGAAGGUGAGAAGAAAAAUCUAGCCAAGGAAAAUGAAGCCCUUCGAGCCCAGAUUCGGAAAAUGAAAAUAGCAGCUGGAAAUCCCGCCAGAAGUGCAAAAGAUGAAAAACUUAUAAAGAACCUUAGGCAGAAGGUGAGUGAGUAUGGUUUUGACUUGAACAAGGCGGAGGGUGAAUUAGCAAGGGCUCGAACAAAAUUGGCUAAGAAUGCGGAAGAACGAGAGCGCUUGGUUAAACAGUUAAAAGAAAAUAUGACAAUGAGGUUGUGGGGUUGAAGAAAAGGGUCACCAUCUUUGAGAACAAAAUGAUCAAGCAAGCAAAAGACUUUAAGGCAGAAAGAGAACACUGUUAUGCAGCGAUGACACAGUUAGAAAGAGAUAUGCAACAACUUCAAGAACAGAAUCAUAUAGCUGAACAAACUAUGGAAGCUAGGGCCCAACAGAUUGGGCGUUUGUUGCAAGAAAAUGGCUUCAUAAGAGAAAGGGUCAAAAGGAUCGCCGACUACAUCAUAAUGAAAUGUAGUAAGUGUGAGGACAUGACUAGAUCCAUGUUCUUCGCCACUGUGAUGACCUUUGUCCGCCAGAUAAUGGAAGAUCUCUACCAUCUCCAAGGGGAUUUGGCACGUAGGCCCGUGGCGAGACCGAAUGAUGUCCCACGGGCCCCAGGAGCAGUUGAGGCAUUGAUGUAUUUAUGAUUUUUAUUGGAGUCUGUUAGUCUGUAUCUUUCAUCUUGGAGUCUGUUAGUCUGUUUUCGAGUCUGUAUUUUCAUCUUUCCAUUGGAGUCUGUUAGUUUCUUCUUCGAGUCUGUUAGUUUUUGAGUCGUUGUAAUCAAAACGUUCAUUUUAUGAAAAAAUUUAGAAAAUCCCAAAAUAUUUUUAUUAUUUAUUUUCACACUUAUCCCCCAGAACUACGCACAGAUCUGAUUCAUGCGGGGUCAUGAUACGUAGGCAAUCUCCAUAGGAUUCGAUCAUAACUAAAAAAAAAAGAGAGAGAAAAGAAAAAAGAGGGAAAGAGAGAGGAAAAACAAGAGAGAAAAGAAAAAAACAAGAGAGAUAGAUGAAAAAGUUGCAAAUGGAAAUUAGGGAAAGCCGGGAUGACGCAAGCAACCGAUCAAAUGCAUAAUAGAAAUGGUUAACUGCUUAGGUGCAUUGCAUCCCCAAUGUGCGGUUGUUUAUCUGUUAAAUGCCCUAAUGCUAACGGGAUGACCCCAUUUUGUUCCUUUUGAUAUCUUCAUAGUGGAAAGGUGGUUGGUUUGUGGUUCUCGAAGUAGUAACUCCUCUCCACAACGUAAGGUCAAAAGGCAAUGGUGGACAACAACAAAAUUGGGUUGGUUGAUACCGGUUCCCGAAAACAGUUAGUUGAACAGAACACUGGUUUGGUUGAUGAGGUAAGGAUGUUAAGACAACACAUGACAGACAUGUAUCAGACCUGGAUGACUGGGAAGGUACCACCCCCGCCACCACCUAGCCUUUUAGAUGCUGCCUUUACCAAACUUCGAUUAUAGUGCCAGAUGAUCCCCCAUACUCUCCAGAUCGACCCGUUUAUCACAACCGUCCUAGUAGCUCCAUCACUCAUCCUCCAAUUAUCUCUCCCCAAAAUUUCCCUCCUGUCAUAUCCACUAUUCCCAAUAAUGAAUAUCCACUCAAAGUUCAUGAUGCCCAAUACUACCCCGCAGAGGUUGCCCACAAGGUUCCUGACUCAUACAAGAAGAGCCCUCGGGAUGAGCUUCAUGUUGAAAAUAGAAAGGUUACAGGAAAACAAGGGCGAGAUGAGAUAUCCGGGAAGUUGAACAGCAUAGAACAGGCUUUAAAGAACAUGCAAGGGACGGGAGACCAGAUUAGCAUGUCUUACAAAGAGUUGUGUAUCUUCCCUGACGUUCGCUUGACCGCAUGAUUUAAAGUGCAAAAGUUUAACUUGUACGAUGAGUGUGGAGAUCCGGUAGCCCAUUUGAGGGAUUAUUACAGUGAAAUGAGAGGCGUUGGCGAGAAAGAUGAUUUGUUGAUAGCGUAUUUCAGUGAGACCUUGACUGGGGUAGCUUUGGAAUGGCAUAAUCGUCAAGAUGUCGGCAAGUGACAUACAUUGGGCGGCAUGACUCAAGAUUUUGUACGACGCUUUCAGUACAAUAUAGACAUUGUCCCAGACCGCUCCUCCCUAUCUCUGAUGGAAAAGAAACCCAAUGACAGUUUUAGGGAUUUUUGGCUCAGAUGGAAUGAACAAGUUGCUCGGGGUAGUCCUCCCGUUGAUAGAAAAGAUGUUGCUGAGCCCCGCCGACGACAGAGUCCAGUGGUCAUUCUUGCUAAACACUUUCAGCCUCAAUGUCGACCCUGUGUAUAUCCUUGUAAUCCUCCCCACUGCUACUUCUCUCCACAGAAAGCCUAAAAUCGCACAUCACUUCCCCGAUACCCCGUCCACAAUGCACCACCAUAUGCUCCACAUCCCCGAGGCCCGCGAUAGCCCGCGAUAGCCCGCACCACUUCCACAAAUGUCUCACCUGCACCCUCAGGCAUAUCAACCACCUACCCGCAAAAGGUUCCAACCGAGGCCAGAAUAUAAAAUGAAAAGACUACUGAAAAAGAAAAUGCUUUCACCCCUAUUGGAGAAUCGUAUACCAGUCUGUUCCAAAGGUUGAUGCAAUUGGAUAUGUUGAAGUCGAUUCAGAUAAAAAGGCCAAACCUUCUUCCAAAGAAGUUUGAUUUUUCUCAAAGGUACGCAUAUUGCUCAGAUGCCCCGGGGCAUGACAUAGAAAAGCGUUGGUAUCUAAAAGGAGCAGUCCAGAAGUUUAUUGAUGCAGGUGACAUUACCGCGCAAAAUCCAAAUGCAGCAGAUACUAGCCAAAGUCCAUUUCCUAAGACACAUAUGAAGGACAUGAUUUGUGUGGAAAAGGAAUAUGAGAACUAUUCAGAGAUACUCGGAGGGCCAGCUGCCGCAAAGCUUUCAGCGCUAUCACUCUUGGUUCCGAAAGUUGAUCAUAAGAACGAGCCGGCCAAAGGGACCCAAAAACAAGUUGUUAAGGACAAUAAGAUGAGGACUUGUGAAGGUUCUAGCAAUGUUGAUGUUGAACUCAGUGGCUAGGAUGCAGAGCUUGGUAAUUGGAAAGACGCUCAUCUUUUGGCUAGCUGGGGUGGAGUCUUGGCAGUUUAUUUUGUUGUCAUUUUUGUUGUCCGGGUCAUUUUCAGGGUUGUAAUCCGGAUAUUGUCUGGUGACUCAAACCCUUCUAUCCUUUUAUUUUGCCUAAUUUGUUUAGUCGUAGUAGCUCGUUUAGUGUUGUCUAGGUUUGUUCCAGGGUUGUUACCCCAGUUUAGUUUGCUUGUUUUGUUGUUCAAACCCUUUCACCAUCUAUCUAAUGCAAUUUUCUGUUUUCUGUUAUUUCUAGUCGUUUAUGUUUAACUCUUUUUUCUUUUUAUAGUCCUUUUCCUGUUGACUCUAGUGACAUGACAUGUACGCGUAACUCUCAACCUGGUUUUAAAAAGUUAGUUUAAUCGUGAAGCAAUUUGGGAGAUGAUAUGGACAUUUGAGGGAAAUAAGUGAAGGGAUUUUGAGAUCACAAAGCCCCAAUUGUGUGAAACUAGGGCAGAUAAAACAUAAAGAAGUACUAUUGAAACGUAUUUGUCCACAUCAGGCUGAAGCAAAAGGCAAGUUCAUCCCAAAUUGGCAGGG